rnacentral:rRNA from 1 species
UACGUAGGGUGCAAGCGUUAUCCGGAAUCACUGGGCGUAAAGCGUGCGUAGGCGGGGUUUUAAGUGAGGUGUUAAAUCGUGUGGCUCAACCAUAUCGAUGCAUCUCAUACUGGAAUCCUAGAGGACGGCAGAGGCAAGUGGAACUAGCAGUGUAGCAGUGAAAUGCGUAGAUAUUGCUAAGAACACCAAUGGCGAAGGCAGCUUGCUGGGCCGCCCCUGACGCUGAGGUACGAAAGCGUGGGGAGCGAACAGG